rnacentral:tRNA from 1 species
CAGGGAGACAACAAAAUGUUUAAUAUUAUUAUUUUGUCACUUAGGUCGAUCGGUAUCUCACGUUUUUAAUUUAUUAAGAAUUUCAUUUCCUAAGUUUUUUCUAGGUCACACCCAUUAUUUUCCUGGGCCAUUAGCUCAGGUGGUUAGAGCGCACCCCUGAUAAGGGUGAGGUCCCUGGUUCAAGUCCAGGAUGGCCCAUAUCUCUAUGUUGGGGGUAUAGCUCAGUUGGUAGAGCGCCUGCUUUGCAAGCAGGAUGUCAGCGGUUCGAGUCCGCUUACCUCCACUGAUUACCACCUCUCCCAUAAUUUAUAGAAAGGAAAAUUUUUGAGUUGUGAUCAUAAUUCUGAACGAAUCUAGCUUCCUAAUGAGUACAUUAAGAUGCUGGACUCAUUGAAUUAAUUUCAUUGUUUUCAGAGAACCUUGACAACUGCAUAGAUUAUUUUUAAAGACAAUAAGCAUCUUUUAAUGAUGCAGAUUUAUUAUUUGUGCAAAUGCAUUAAUAACAAUUCUAUUGAGCUGAUGCUUCAA